UACGUAGGCAGCGAGCGUUGUUCGGAGUUACUGGGCGUAAAGCGUGCGUAGGCGGUGUCUUAAGUUUGGUGUGAAAUCUCCCGGCUCAACUGGAGGUGCGCCGAAUACUGAAUGACUUGGAGUGCGGGAGAGGAGAGUGGAAUUCCGUGGAUGUAGCGGUGAAAUGCGUAGAUAUCAGGAGGAACACCGGUGGUGUAGACGGCUCUCUGGACCGUAACUGGACGCUGAGACAGAAAGCGUGGGUAGCAAACAGG
rnacentral:rRNA from 1 species